CAGCCGCCGCGGUAAAACGAAGGGUGCAAGCGUUAAUCGGAACUACUGGGCGUAAAGCGUGCGUAGGCGGUUUGUUAAGUCUGUUGUGAAAUCCCCGGGCUCAACCUGGGAAUGGCAAUGGAUACUGGCAAGCUAGAGUGUGUCAGAGGAUGGUGGAAUUCCCGGUGUAGCGGUGAAAUGCGUAGAGAUCGGGAGGAACAUCAGUGGCGAAGGCGGCCAUCUGGGACAACACUGACGCUGAGGCACGAAAGCGUGGGGAGCAAACAGGAUUAGAUACCCGGGUAGUCCCUGUCUCUUAUAC
rnacentral:rRNA from 1 species